rnacentral:rRNA from 1 species
CACGUAGGGGGCGAGCGUUGUCCGGAUUUAUUGGGCGUAAAGAGCUCGUAGGCGGCUCACUAAGUCAGGUGUGAAAUUUCGAGGCUUAACCUCGAAACGCCACCCGAUACUGGUGUGGCUAGAGUCCGGUAGGGGAGCGUGGAAUUCCUGGUGUAGCGGUGAAAUGCGCAGAUAUCAGGAGGAACACCAGCGGCGAAGGCGGCGCUCUGGGCCGGUACUGACGCUGAGGAGCGAAAGCGUGGGGAUCAAACAGGAUUAGAAACCCGCGUAGUCC